ACCCUUCCACUUGGCAGGAGAGAUACAAUGAUCAUGAAGGUGGUUUUCCCAGGGUGAGGCUUAUCCAUUGCACUCCGGAUGUGCUGACCCCUGCGAUUUCCCCAAAUGUGGGAAACUCGACUGCAUAAUUUGUGGUAGUGGGGGACUGUGUUUGCGCUUUCCCCUG
rnacentral:snRNA from 1 species